rnacentral:rRNA from 1 species
GCACAGUAAACGAUGGAUGCUCGCUGUGUGCCUUCGGGUACGCGGCUAAGGGAAACCAUUAAGCAUCCCACCUGGGGAGUACGCCGGCAACGGUGAAACUCAAAGGAAUUGACGGGGGCCCGCACAAGCGGAGGAACAUGUGGUUUAAUUCGAUGAUACGCGAGGAACCUUACCCGGGCUUGAACUGCAGCGGAAGGAUACAGAGAUGUUGACGUCCUUCGGGACCGCUGUGGAGGUGCUGCUUGGUUGUCGUCAGCUCGUGCCGUGAGGUGUCGGCUUAAGUGCCAUAACGAGCGCAACCCCUGUCGUUAGUUGCCAUCACUUCGGGUGGGCACUCUGGCGAUACUGCCACCGUAAGGUGUGAGGAAGGUGGGGAUGACGUCAAAUCAGCACGGCUCUUACGUCCGGGGCUACACACGUGUUACAAUGGCGUGUACAGAGAGUUGGUGCCGGGCAAUCGGCAUCUAAUCAAUAAAACACGUCUCAGUUCGGAUUGGGGUCUGCAACCCGACCCCAUGAAGCUGGAUUCGCUAGUAAUCGCGCAUCAGCCAUGGCGCGGUGAAUACGUUCCCGGGCCUUGUACACACCGCCCGUCAAGCCAUGAAAGCCGGGGGCGCUUGAAGUCCGUGACCGCAAGGAUCGGCCUAGAGCGAAACUGGUAAUUGGGGCU